UGCAGUGGGAGUAGGCGAUCAGUCCUUUCCAUUUCCGCUUUCCCCCGUCUUUCGACCGUUGGCUCUUGAUAGCUGCUUCUCUAGGUCAAGUAGUGGGCGAUCGCCGAUCGAGCGAGAGGGAGGGAGAGAGAGAGGAGCGAUGGUGAGUACCCGACGCAUGGCGCUGACUGUAGCGGCGCCGGUGAGUUCCGUGAAAGAGGAGAUGGAUAGGCGGCGGCGCAGCCCCUCACCUUCUCUCCGUCAGGCGGCGAUUCCGACGGCGGGAGCCGCCAGUCCGGCGGACUACGAGAGGUUGCGGGGAGAAAGGAUCAAGGAGAACAUGGAGAGGUUGCGAAGUUUCGGCAUACUCGACCUGUCCCUCCAACUCAAAUCUCAUAUCACGCCGGGUCCCUCCCACCAACGUCGGAGGAAGAGGGAAGACGUUGCCUCCAACACUGGCAGGAAGAAACUGCUACUUUCAUCGACGCUGAAAAGGCGCUCCUCAAGGUUGCAAAAUGUAGCCCCAGUUAGCUAUGUGGAAAUUAAUCCGAGCAAAGAGGUGAAUUCUAAGAAGAAUCGCUCGAUCUCAAUUGAAGUAGGUGCAAAGGAAGAGGUUUAUACAGAUGAGCAUGAGAAGUUACUAGGCACAUAUGAGACUGGUUGGACACUGUUUGUGGAUGGAUUUGGUACAGAUGGAAAACGCAUAUAUGACUCUGUAAUAGGGAAAACGUGCCACCAGUGCAGGCAAAAAACUCUUGGUCACCGUACACACUGUAGUGAGUGUCAGCUAAUUCAAGGGCAAUUCUGUGGAGAUUGUUUGUUUAUGAGAUAUGGUGAAAAUGUUCUGGAAGCCAAAAAGAAUCAUAAUUGGAUAUGUCCAGUAUGUCGAGGCAUCUGCAAUUGUAGUUUGUGUAGAACCAAGAAAGGGUGGGCCCCCACUGGCACCCUAUAUAAAAAGGUUGUUAAUUUGGGAUAUAAGUCCGUAGCACAUUAUCUUAUUCAGACACGACGCCAACAGCCAAGUUCUGGUGAUCUAAAUUCGUCCGACUUACCUUCUGCAGAAGAGUCAUCCUGCAUUGAUAAUGGCGAGGUUUUACCCGAUGGCACUAAUGACAAUCUGAAUGAAAAGAAGUGCAAGAUAGAAAAUGGUAAGAUUGUUAACGAAAACGACUCUUCUACUGAAGCUGGUGUAAUUAGCUCACCUGAGAACGAUGCCCCAAAUGCUGCAGUUAAGAGUGUGAAUGACUCACACAGAGAUGUAAAUCCAGUCACUGAUAGCAUUGGCACUAAUGACGAUCUGAAUGAAAAGAAGAGCAAGAUAGAAAAUGGUAAGAUUGCUAACGAAAACAAGUCUUCUACUGAAGCUGGUGUAAUUAGCUCACCUGAGAACGAUGCUGCAAAUGCCAUGGUUAAGAGAGUAAACGACUCACACAAACAUGUAAAUCAAGUCACUGAUAGCAUUGGCACUAACGACUAUCUGAAUGAAAAGAAGAGCAAGAUAGAAAAUGGUAAUAUUGCUAAUGAAACCGAGUCUUCUACUGAAGCUGGUGUAUUUAGCUCACCUGAGAACGAUGCCCCAAAUGCUGCGGUUAAGAGAGUAAAUGACUCACGCAAACAUCAAAAUCAAGUUACUGAUAGCAUUGCGAGCAGGUUAAGAAAGCGGAACAGAACUUGAACAUGAUUUUACCAGCUCUGAUAUUUUGCUGGCGUUGUUUCUCAAAUAGGACAUCAGGCCCUGUCGUGCGUACUCCACCAAGAUCUGCCAUGGAGAACAAGGUUAACACUGCUACUUUCCAGAAAGCAAAUCCUCCUCUAGUUGCCAUUGGAGAUCCACCACCACCACUACAGAUGCAUGGGUACCAACUAAUACAUCAUUAAUGCAAUCCAGUCCUUCAUGGGAUUACAGGAUCAGGAUGAGGCCAACAAAGGAACUCCAUACUACUUCAUGGCACCAUACUGCAUCAAGGUUUGCAAGAUUAAAUUAUUAGCAUCCGUGAGCCUCCUUUUUAGCUUUAGCUCAGUAUAGUGGACUCUAGACAAAAGUUGGGCGUCUUCUUUCUUCACAUAUCUGUUCUGGGGGAUUUUUAAAAUAGGCAUAAUAGAAGACUUGAAUAUUUUAUUAGAUCGUAGAUGCCGAAUUAAUUU